rnacentral:rRNA from 1 species
UGGGGAAUAUUGGACAAUGGGCGGAAGCCUGAUCCAGCAACGCCGCGUGAGGGAUGACGGCCUUCGGGUUGUAAACCUCUUUCGCCUAUGAUGAAGUUGCCCAUUUUUGUGGGUGGUGACAGUAGUGGGAAAAGAAGGACCGGCCAACUACGUGCCAGCAGCCGCGGUAAUACGUAGGGUCCGAGCGUUGUCCGGAAUUAUUGGGCGUAAAGGGCUCGUAGGCGGUUUGUCGCGUCGGGAGUGAAAACACCGGGCUUAACUCGGUGCUUGCUUUCGAUACGGGCAGACUGGAGGUAUGCAGGGGAGAACGGAAUUCCUGGUGUAGCGGUGAAAUGCGCAGAUAUCAGGAGGAACACCGGUGGCGAAGGCGGUUCUCUGGGCAUUACCUGACGCUGAGGAGCGAAAGUGUGGGGAGCGAACA